AUACGGAGGGGGCUAGCGUUGUUCGGAAUUACUGGGCGUAAAGGGCGCGUAGGCGGAUUGUCAAGUCAGAGGUGAAAGCCCUGGGCUCAACCUGGGAACUGCCUUUGAAACUAACGGUCUAGAGUCCGAGAGAGGAUGGCGGAAUUCCCAGUGUAGAGGUGAAAUUCGUAGAUAUUGGGAAGAACACCAGUGGCGAAGGCGGCCAUCUGGCUCGGUACUGACGCUGAGGCGCGAAAGCGUGGGGAGCAAACAGGAUUAGAUACCCCAGUAGUCC
rnacentral:rRNA from 1 species